UACGUAGGGUGCGAGCGUUGUCCGGAAUUAUUGGGCGUAAAGGGCUCGUAGGCGGUCUGUUGCGUCAGGAGUGAAAACUCGGGGCUUAACCCCGAGCCUGCUUCUGAUACGGGCAGACUAGAGGUAUGCAGGGGGAGAACGGAAUUCCUGGUGUAGCGGUGAAAUGCGCAGAUAUCAGGAGGAACACCGGUGGCGAAGGCGGGAUCCUGGGCCAGUACUGACGCUGAGGCACGAAAGCCAGGGGAGCGAACGGG
rnacentral:rRNA from 1 species